CACGUAGGGUGCGAGCGUUGUCCGGAAUUAUUGGGCGUAAAGAGCUCGUAGGCGGUGUGUCGCGUCGGCCGUGAAAACCUGCAGCUUAACUGUGGGCUUGCGGUCGAUACGGGCAUCACUGGAGUUCGGCAGGGGAGACUGGAAUUCCUGGUGUAGCGGUGAAAUGCGCAGAUAUCGGGAAGAACACCCGUGGCGAAGGCGGUUCUCUGGGCAUUACCUGACGCUGAGGAGCGAAAGUGGUGGGGAGCGAACAGG
rnacentral:rRNA from 1 species